GAGGCCGUUCUAAACUGCAGAACUAGAGGAUGGUAGAGGGAGGUGGAAUUCCAGGUGUAGCGGUGGAAUGCGCAGAUAUCUGGAGGAACACCAGUGGCGAAAGCGGCCUCCUGGACCAUUCCUGACACUCAGACGCGAAAGCUAGGGUAGCAAACGGGAUUAGAGACCCCGGUAGUCCUGGCCCUAAACGAUGUAGACUAGACGUCGGUGGUGUAAUAGCUGUCGGUGUCCAAGCUAACGCGAUAAGUCUACCGCCUGGGGACUACGGCCGCAAGGUUAAAACUCAAAGGAAUUGACGGGUCCCCGCACAAGCAGCGGAGCGUGUGGUUUAAUUCGUUGCUACACGAAGAACCUUACCUGGGUUUGACAUAGCAGUGGUAGGGAAGAGAAAUCGGACCGACCCUUCGGGGAGCUGUUACAGGUGUUGCAUGGCUGUCGUCAGCUCGUGUCGUGAGAUGUUCGGUUAAGUCCGCUAACGAGCGCAACCCGCGUUGUGUGUUAUAUGUGUCACACAAUACCGCCGGUAUUAAGCCGGAGGAAGGUGCGGAUGACGUCAAGUCAGCAUGACCUUUAUAUCCAGGGCUACACACACGCUACAAUGGACAGUACAACAGGUUGCCAAGCCGCGAGGCGGAGCCAAUCCUCUAAAGCUGUCCUCAGUUCAGAUUGCAGGCUGCAACUCGC
rnacentral:rRNA from 1 species